rnacentral:rRNA from 1 species
AUGCCUUGGCCUCAUACUGCUUGGCGCACAUUAUGCCUCUGGAGCUGCGGUUCCUAGCUCACAGUGCCGAAGGAGGUGCGGCAAGGUUGAGAUACCGUACCCAUUCGGCAUCGACCCCAACUGCUCUCUCAUGGCGGACGUCUUCGACCUCAGUUGCGAGCUUAGAGAUGGCAUCCUCAAGCCAUUUAGGGGGAUCUUUGAGGUACUGGACAUCUCCCUAACCCACAGCACUGCCAGGGUACUCAACAACAUCGAGGCUUCCUGCUACAACAACACCGCCAGGAGCAUGGAGCAUUUUGGCUAUCAUGAGAGUGCGAACGGAGGGCCUUCCUCCGUCUACCGGCUCUCGGACGUCCAGAACAGGUUCACGGUCAUUGGGUGUAGCGCACUCGCCGCCAUGUCCAUCCGGAUGGCACGGGCUACCAGGGGAUGGCCGUCGCCACAUGUCGUGACCUGUCGGACCUUGUGGACGGGUCCUGUGCCGGCAUGGGCUGCUCCCAGACCAUGAUACCCAAGAGGAUGUACUACUACGACACAAACUUCUCGAGCUCCGUCAACACGAGCCGGAUCUGGGAGUUCAACUGGUGCAGCUACGCGGUGCUCAUGGAGGCUGCGGCUUUCAACUUCGACAGUAUGUACAUUGGCAACACCACGUUCAAUGACACGUACCAUGGGUGGGUACCAAUGGUGGUUGAUUGGGCUAUAAGAGAUGUGCACUCAUGUGAUGCUGCACAACGGAAUACGACGUAUGCAUGCCUCAGCAGCAAUAGUGUCUGCGUGGAUUCUGUCAAUGAUUACGGGUACACAUGCAACUGCUCCCAGGGAUACGAGGGCAACCCUUAUCUUCAGGGUGGAUGCAAAGAUGUUGACGAAUGUAGUAACAACAACCCUUGUCCUUCGGGAGGCACUUGCCACAAUACCAUUGGAGGAUACCGGUGUUCUUGCCGAGUAGGAACAAAACAGGAAGGCAAUACUUGCAACCCAAAUAUUGGCUUGAUACUAGGAGUUAUAAUCGGAUUAUUUGGGUCCAUUGUUAUCACCAUGAUUAUUAUCUUUUGGGGACAAAUGAUGAUCCUAAAGAGAAAAUUGGAAAAGGUUAAGCAGGAGUAUUUCCGCCAACAUGGAGGGUUGGUUUUGUUUGAUAGGAUGAAAUCUCAGAAAGGUCUUGCUUUCACGAUAUUUUCAGAGGCUGAACUCAUACAUGCCACCAACAACUUUGAUAGAACCAAAAUACUUGGAAAAGGAGGUCAUGGAACAGUCUAUAAAGGGAUAGUGAAGAACAACAUGCCGGUUGCAAUAAAAAGAUGUGCAUUAGUUAAUGAAAGGCAAAAGAAGGAAUUUGGCCAAGAGUUGCUCAUUUUGUCCCAAAUAAAUCACAAGAACGUUGUUAAACUCCUGGGUUGUUGCCUUGAGGUGGAAGUUCCAAUUCUAGUAUAUGAGCUUGUUCUAAAUGGCACACUUUUCGAGCAUAUUCAUGGCAAGUACCAAGCAUCGCAAAUCUCCUUCAGCAAUCUCUUAAGGAUUUCUUAUGAAGCAGCGGAAGGAUUGAGCUUCCUACACUCCUAUGCAUCUCCCCCGAUUAUUCAUGGUGACGUUAAAACUUCCAAUAUUCUUCUUGAUGAGAACCACAUGGCCAAGGUGUCUGACUUUGGAGCCUCGAUACUAGCCCCAUCCGACAAAGAGCAAUUUGUCACAAUAAUUCAAGGUACCUGUGGAUACCUUGAUCCCGAAUACCUGCAAACAUGCCAGCUAACAUCUAAAAGCGAUGUGUAUAGCUUUGGAGUAAUUCUUUUGGAGAUCAUUACCGGGCAGUUGCCAAUGAAGCUCGAAGGGCCUAAUAUGCAGAAGAUCUUAUCAUCAACUUUCCUAUCUGCUAUGAAGGAGAACAAUCUUGAUUCAGUGUUGGCUAGCCAAGUAAAAGCACAAGCGAGCAUGGAGUUGUUGAAAGGGCUUGCGAACCUAGCUAACAAAUGCUUAGACCUGUGUGGUGACAACAGGCCCUCCAUGAAAGAGGUUGCUGAUGAGCUCGCUAGACUGAGAAAGCUUCCAAUGUAUCCAUGGGUACGGCUGGGCGUGGAGACGCAUGGAGAAUCUGCUAGUGUCCAGGUAAUAGAAUCUGACUAUUAUAUGGGAGAAGAUGAGAGCAAACACAUAAAUCCAAGAAGUUCUUACUAUGCUAGGUGA